rnacentral:rRNA from 1 species
UCCAAGGAGCAUGCCUGUUGAGUGUCAUGAAAUUCUCAACUGCCCUGAGCUCUUGUGGCUUGUGGGUGAGGUUGGAUUUGGAGGACAUUGCUGGCGUGUGCUCUGUGCAUGCUUGUCGGCCCCUCUUGAAUGCAUGAGCUUUCCAGUCCUUGGCAAAGUAUCGUCGAUGUGAUAGUUAUCUGCGUCGCUCGAGAAAAGCAUGUAAGGGGAAAUCUACGAUCGCAUCGGCCCUUUGGGGGUUCCGUGUCCGACACAUUCGACCUCAAAUCAGGUAGGACUACCCGCUGAACUUAAGCAUAUCAAUAAGCGGAGG